rnacentral:tRNA from 2 species
GCGCCCGUAGCUCAACGGAUAGAGCAUCUGACUACGGAUCAGAAGGUUCGGGGUUCGAAUCCCUGCGGGCGCAC